AGUGAACGCUGGCGGUAGGCCUAACACAUGCAAGUCGAACGGCUGCACAGUAAUAGCUUGCUCUUACGGGUGGCGAGUGGCGGACGGUUGAGGAAUACAUCGGAAUCUACUUUUUCGUGGGGGAUAACGUAGGGAAACUUACGCUAAUACCGCAUACGACCUACGGGUGAAAGCAUGGGAUCUUCGGACCUCGCGCGAUUGAAUGAGCCGAUGUCGGAUUAGCUAGUUGGCGGGGUAAAGGCCCACCAAGGCGACGAUCCGUAGCUGGUCUGAGAGGAUGAUCAGCCACACUGGAACUGAGACACGGUCCAGACUCCUACGGGAGGCAGCAGUGGGGAAUAUUGGACAAUGGGCGCAAGCCUGAUCCAGCCAUACCGCGUGGGUGAAGAAGGCCUUCGGGUUGUAAAGCCCUUUUGUUGGGAAAGAAAAGCAGCAGGUUAAUACCCCGCUGUUCUGACGGUACCCAAAGAAUAAGCACCGGCUAACUUCGUG
rnacentral:rRNA from 1 species